rnacentral:tRNA from 1 species
CACGAAGUAGCUUAAAACUAAAGCACUCAGCCUACACCCGAGACAUGCCCGCCCGCCGGGCCUUCAUGA